UGGAAACAGACAUGCUGGGCUUUAUCACAAUGCUGAUUUUCUCCAGAUUGAUCUGGGUCCACUAAGACUCAGCAGGAAUCCAGGGAAGUGGAGAAGCCGAGACCCAGUGAUGACAGUAUCAUUAACUACAUGGGCCACAGACUAACAAUGCCGAUGCAGAUGAUGGCGGUGAGGUCGGAGAUGCUGAUGCGGCCUGCUCGGCCUCCCUCUUGGCCUCAUUCUAAGUGCUUUUCAUGUAGCAACUCAUUCGAUCCUCAUCUUCGCCGCUUAAAAUCAAUACCAUUAACAAUUUUUAUUUUCCAGGUG
rnacentral:lncRNA from 1 species